AACGAACGCUGGCGGCAUGCCUAACACAUGCAAGUCGAACGAGACCUUCGGGUCUAGUGGCGCACGGGUGCGUAACGCGUGGGAACCUGCCCUUAGGUUCGGAAUAACUCCCCGAAAGGGGUGCUAACACCGGAUAAUGUCUUCGGACCAAAGAUUUAUCGCCUUUGGAUGGGCCCGCGUUGGAUUAGCUAGUUGGUAGGGUAAAAGCCUACCUAGGCGACGAUCCAUAGCUGGUCUGAGAGGAUGAUCAGCCACACUGGGACUGAGACACGGCCCAGACUCCUACGGGAGGCAGCAGUGGGGAAUAUUGGACAAUGGGCGAAAGCCUGAUCCAGCAAUGCCGCGUGAGUGAUGAAGGCCUUAGGGUUGUAAAGCUCUUUUACCCGGGAUGAUAAUGACAGUACCGGGAGAAUAAGCUCCGGCUAACUCCGUG
rnacentral:rRNA from 1 species